GAUGAACGCUGGCGGCGUGCCUAAUACAUGCAAGUCGAGCGGAAGGACGAGAAGCUUGCUUCUCUGAUGUUAGCGGCGGACGGGUGAGUAACACGUGGAUAACCUCCCUAUAAGACUGGGAUAACUUCGGGAAACCGGCGCUAAUACCGGAUAAUCUUUUGCACCGUAUGGUUCAAAAGUGAAAGUCGGUCUUGCUGUCACUUCUAGCUGGAUCCGCGCUGCAUUAGCUAGUUGGUAAGGUAACGGCUUACCAAGGCAACGAUGCAUAGCCGACCUGAGAGGGUGAUCGGCCACACGGGAGCGUAGACACGGUCCAUACUCCUGCGGGAGGCAGCAGUAGGGAAUCGGCCGCAGUAGGCGAAAACCUUGCGGAGCAACGCCGCGUGAGUGAUGGAGAUCUUCGGAGCGUAAAGCUCGGUUAUGAGGGAAGAACAUAUGUGGAAGGAACUGAACAGAGCGUGACGGUACCGAAUCAGAAAGCCACGGCUAACUACGUG
rnacentral:rRNA from 1 species